rnacentral:rRNA from 1 species
UACGUAGGGUGCGAGCGUUAAUCGGAAUUACUGGGCGUAAAGCGUGCGCAGGCGGUUGUGCAAGACAGAUGUGAAAUCCCCGGGCUUAACCGUGGAACUGCAUUUGUGACUGCACGGCUAGAGUGCGGCAGAGGGGGAUGGAAUUCCGCGUGUAGCAGUGAAAUGCGUAGAUAUGCGGAGGAACACCGAUGGCGAAGGCAAUCCCCUGGGCCUGCACUGACGCUCAUGCACGAAAGCGUGGGGAGCAAACAGG